UCGCCCUGGGAGAUCGCCGUGGGGUCCAUUCGGGCGGCCCGGAACCCCUGCCUUAAGCCCCGAGGGCCCUGGGAGAUGCGGGUCGCCCGCGGAGGAACGCAGCACUGCACUGCCCAAGGGCCCUGCCUCUCCGGGUCAGCUGGCCCCCGAGGGCCUGGGAGCAGGCUCCUGCCCCUCCCGAUCCUGUGCGAGCUUGCGGCACGGUUUUGACCGGGGUGAGAUUGGCCUCCCCAGCUGGCUUGGAGGUUUCCAUGGAGAGGCUAUGUUUACCGCCCAGAACCUCACUGGCUGCACGUGGGGCUAGGAAAGGCAUGUCCACCAGCUCAGGAGCCAGCCAGAGUCCACCCGGGUGUGGCCAGUGCCAAGUAGGGGAAGGUGUUAGGUUUCACCCACACAACCAGAAAUAUGUAACUGAGGACACUGGCCAGACUGAUGGCAGAGCAGCCUCAGAGUAGGGACACUGCCCCCCACCACACACACCUGGAUGUCAGGACCAAGGCAGCAUCACUUUGGACUAUGAGCUAGCCUGGUCUACCAUGAAAGGUUCACGGACCAUCAGUGCUACUCCUGAAGGCAGUCCAGAAGGUAUGGACUUGAGUCUGGUUGGCCUCCCUCCACCCAUGUCCCAGCGCCCCAGCAGUGCAUCUGCCACCAAGUCCAUUGUCCGAUCCGUGUCUGUGGCCACGGGCAGUGAGCCGAGAAAAAAGGCAUUGGAGGCCACAGGGCCUGGGGGCUCCCGGGCUAUCAACAAUCUUCGAAGAUCUAACAGCACUACGCAGGUCAACCAGUCAUGGACCGGCUCCCCCAGGCCGGCAGAGCCCAGCGACUUCCUGAUGCUCUUUGAGGGCAGCACCCGUGGGAGGAGGAGGGUGGCCAGUCUUAGCAAGGCGUCCAGCGAGAAGGAAGCCUCGUGGAACGUCCUGGAUGACCAGCCUAGGGGCUUUGCUUUGCCAGCCAGCGUCCAGAGUCCCAGCACCCUUGACUCUGCCUUGGGCCCGCGGAGGAAGGAGUGUGCCCUGGCACCCAGCUUCACUGUUAACAACAGAAGCAACAAAGGAGCCGUGGGCAACUGUGUCACUACCAUGGUGCAUAACCACUACGCCUCCCUGAAGAAGGUGUCACCUCCCAAGAGCUCCAACCAGACAGCCCCCUCCCUCAACAAUAUCAUCAAGGCUGCAGCUCGAGAGGGCGGUGAGGGCAGUGACUUUGGGAAGCCUCGGAAGAACGUCUCUGGUGGCAGUCACUCCACCCGGGGUGCCACCGGCCUGCUGAGGCGGAAGGAGGUGACUGAGGAGGAAGCUGAGAGGUUUAUCCACCAGGUAAACCAGGCUGCAGUCACCAUCCAACGCUGGUACCGCCGCCAGGUACAGAGGCGCCGAGCAGGAGCAAGCCUGGAACACCUGCUGGCGUCUAAGCGGGAGGAGCAGAGGCAACGGCUGGGUAGUGGGAACCUUCUGGACCUGCACCGGCAGGAGGAGGCAGCAAGGAAGAAGGCCCGGGAGGAGAAGGCUCGCCGGGCCAGGCAGGCAGCCAUUCAGGAAUUGCAGCAGAAACGAGCCCAGAAGGCAGGUGAGGCUGAGCACAGGCCGCCUAAAGACAGACCAGAGACCAGAGCACCGGGGCAGCCUCGACCCACCCAGGAGCCACCCUCGAUGCCAGGCAGUACCGCCCACCAGGCCCUCAAGGCCAACAAUGCCAGUGCCAGCAUCUACCCCACAGGCCCUGGAGACCCCUGCCCUCCUGCCUCUGAGUCAUCCCCAGAGCCCCAGCAGCCUCCAGAGGACAAGCCACAGGACAUCCAUUCCCAGGAUGUAGCCAGAGAGGACUUGGAAGUGUUGGGCACUACCAGGAGCAAGAUCAGGGCCAGAGCAACCCUGGAUGAGCUGCUAGACACACUGAGGUUACUGGAGGAGGAGCCUGAGCCGCUGCCCCGCCCGAAGACCUAUCACAAAGACAGAUAUGCCUGGACCGAGGAGGAGGAUGACAUCAACUCCCUGACAGCUGACAACCUGGAGAAAUUUGGGAAACUGAGUGCACCCCCAGGCCCACUUGAUGAUGGGACUCUGCUCUCAGAGGCCAAGCUGCAGAGCAUCAUGAGCUUCCUAGAUGAGAUGGAGAAGUCGGGACAGGACCGGCCAGCACCCCAGCGGGAGAGCCUGGUGCCGGAGGCGGGCCCAAAGCCCCUGGAACUGGGGUCUGAGGGGAGUACAUUCAUGAUGCGGCUAAAGCUGGAGGUCGAGGAAAAGAAGCAGGCCAUGGUUCUACUGCAGAGAGCUCUGGCGCAACAGCGUGACCUCACCAUCCGACGUGUUAAGGAGACAGAGAAGGAGCUGAACCGGCAGUUGCGGCAGCAGAAGGAGCACUAUGAGGCCACCAUCCAACGGCACUUGUCCUUCAUUGACCAGCUGAUUGAAGACAAGAAGAUUCUGAGUGAGAAGUGCGAGGCAGUGGUGACUGAGCUGAAGCAAGGGGACCAGCGGUGUCGGGAGCGCGUGGCCCAGAUGCAGGAGCAGCACGAACUGGAGAUUAAGAAACUCAAAGAACUCAUGAGUGCCACUGAGAAAAUCCGCCGCGAGAAGUGGAUCAAUGAGAAAACGAAAAAGAUCAAGGAGAUCACAGUCAGAGGUCUGGAGCCCGAGAUCCAGAAACUCAUUGCCAAGCACAAGCAAGAAGUGAGGAGGCUCAGAGGCCUGCACGAGGCUGAGCUGCAGCAGCGUGAUGAGCAGGCCGCACAGCGCCACCUGCGCCAGGCAGAAGAGCUGCGGGAACACCUUGAGCGGGAGAAGGAGGCGCUGGGCAAGCAGGAGCGCGAGCGUGCCCAGCAGCGGUUUGAGCAGCACCUGGAGCAGGAACAUCGGGCGCUGGAGCAGCAACGGCGGCGACUCUACAAUGAGGUGGCUGAAGAGAAGGAGCGGCUGGGCCAGCAGGCAGCCAGGCAGCGGGCAGAGCUGGAGGAGCUGAGGCAGCAGCUGGAGGAGAGCAGUACAGCCCUGACUCGAACCCUGAGAGCCGAGUUUGAGAGAAGCCGGGAGGAGCAAGAGCAGAGGCACCAGAUGGAGCUGAAAGCCCUGAAGGAGCAGCUGGAAGCUGAGAGGCAGGCAUGGGUGGCCAGCUGUGCCAAGAAGGAGGAAGCAUGGAUGCUGACCAGGGAACGUGAGCUGAAGGAGGAGAUCCGAAAAGGCCGAGACCAGGAGAUUGAGUUGGUCAUCCACCGGCUGGAGGCUGAUAUGACACUGGCCAAGGAGGAGAGCGAGAGGGCCGCCGAGAGCCGCGUGAAGCGUGUGCGGGACAAGUAUGAAACGGAGCUCUUGGAGCUGGAGCAGUCGGAGCGGAAGCUGCAGGAGCGGUGCACAGAGCUGAAAGGGCGCCUCGGCGAGGCCGAAGGGGAGAAGGAGCGCCUGCAGUCCCUAGUCCGGCAGAAGGAGAAGGAACUGGAAGACGUGCGUGCGGUGAACACACAGAUGUGCAGCGAGCGGGCCAGCCUGGCCCAGGUGGUCCGACAGGAGUUUGCAGACCAGCUGGCAGCCUCCCAGGAGGAGAGCCAGAGGGUGAAAGCAGAGCUUGCUGAGCUGCGGGCCCGCCAGCAGAUGGAGCUAGAUGAGGUGCAUCGGAGGUGGGUGGUCCGGACUUCAGGUGGGGCACAGGGAGCAGUGGUGUGUCUUCCUUUCUCCUCCACAUAUGCAGACAUAGCCCAGGAGCAGGAGCUCGCAUGGCUUCCAGCUCUGUGUUCAGGAAGACUGGGCAUCUUCCCUCUGGGUGUCACUUAGUUCUGGAGCAUCAGGGCUGGCAAGGACCCACCUGUGCUUCUCCAAGAGGGUGAGCUAGGAUUCUGGCUGGGUCAGCUGUUGCUCAACAGAGGGCCAGCUGCAGGGAGGGUGACAGUGAGCACCCAGAAUCUUAGCACUUCCUGAGGCUGAGGCUGCCCGCCUGUGUGGCUAACAGACAAUAAGACAAAGUCAUGAGGUGACUGCUCACCUGUCUUGGUCUGCACAGCACCAUGCCCAACCCCCUUCCUUCCAAGAACCACUUUAGCAUCUGGUUCUCAUGGAGACGGUGGCCCAGGUCAGCAGGGCUGAGACCCUUUGGGCUGACCUGGGACUCAAGUUGGGGGCUGCACAGACGUCCACUGCACAUCACUGCAGGGUGAAGACCGCUCUAGCAAAGAAGGGGGAGGUCGUGAGCAGUCUCCGGAAGCAGCAUGAGGCUGCUGUGAAGCGGGCGGACCACCUAGAGGAGCUGCUGGAGCAACACAGACGGCCAUCUUUG